GUUGACAGCGUGCCAUCCCCGCAUAAUGUGCGAGCAUUACAAAAAAGGUUUCUUUGCUUUGCAGGAACAGUAAGGUCAGAAAUGGAGCAAGACUGCAAACCCAGCUGCAUGUGAGGCUUCCCAGACCAUGCAAAACGCCAGAAGUUCCUGUGUCAAGCCAGAUCUACUCCGGGGGAGAAUCGGCUGAGUUUUGCCCAAACCCAACCUUGCUCUCCCCAGCCUCUCCUCCCCACGCAGACACAUAUGUAUCCCUGCUAGAGUUCUCCUUGGGCCUGACUCACCUCCUCCUGGAAUCACUGGACAUCCUUCUCCUGGAUUGUUCAAAGCUUAUCUGGUCGUGUACAUUUUAUUUUGAAUUUCUGAGAAAUUUAUGGACAAUGCUGUGAGUUGAUGUAGAAGUAAACAUUUAUUGUA